GGGCCCGCACAAGCAGUGGAGCAUGUGGUUUAAUUCGAAGAUACGCGCAGAACCUUACCAACACUUGACAUGUUCGUCGCGACUUUAAGAGAUUAAAGUUUUCGGUUCGGCCGGACGAAACACAGGUGCUGCAUGGCUGUCGUCAGCUCGUGUCGUGAGAUGUUGGGUUAAGUCCCGCAACGAGCGCAACCCUCACUUUUAGUUGCCAUCAUUAAGUUGGGCACUCUGAAAGAACUGCCAGUGAUAAGCUGGAGGAAGGUGGGGAUGACGUCAAGUCCUCAUGGCCCUUACGUGUUGGGCUACACACGUGCUACAAUGGUAUCUACAACAGGAAGCAAGACUGCGAGGUCAAGCAAAUCCCUAAAAGAUACCUCAGUUCGGAUUGCACUCUGCAACUCGAGUGCAUG
rnacentral:rRNA from 1 species